AUGAUGAGCGGCGGCAGGAUGAACGCGGCGGCGAGCGACGACUUCCCCUUCGCGGCAAUGCAGCCGCCGCCCUACGUCGGCUUCGAGCACGCCGGCGGAGGAGGCCAGCGACACCAGGGCGCGAUGAUGUACGACAACUUCGACUUCGCGGCGGCCGCGGACGCCUUCGGCCAGUUCCAGGACGCGCCGCACCACCAGAUGCUGGCGCUGCCGCCCAGCGGCAACGGCGCCGGCGGGCUGGUCCCCAUGGCGCCGCCGCCCAUGCCCGGGAUGCAGCUGCAGAUGCCGCCCAUGGCUAUGCACGGGCACGGCGACGUGUACCCGGCGAUGGGGAUGGUGAAGCGCGAGGGGGACGCGGGGAGAAUCGGGCUGAACCUCGGCCGGCGGACCUACUUCUCCCCCGGCGACAUGAUGGCCGUGGACCGGGUGCUCAUGCGGUCCCGUCUCGGCGGCGUGUUCGGGCUGGGAUUCGGGCGCGGCCACCACCAGGCGCCUCGGUGCCAGGUGGAGGACUGCAGGGCGGACCUCUCCGGCGCCAAGCACUACCACCGGCGCCACAAGGUGUGCGAGUACCACGCCAAGGCCUCCCUCGUCUCCGCCGCCGGCAAGCAGCAGCGCUUCUGCCAGCAAUGCAGCAGGUUCCACGUGCUCACGGAGUUCGACGAGGCCAAGAGGAGCUGCCGGAGGCGGCUCGCAGAGCACAACCGUCGCCGGAGGAAGCCGGCGGCCGGCAGCACGGCGGCGUCGUCCAAGGAUUCGGCUCCGCCUUCCAAGAAACCCAACGCCGGCGCCAUCUCCAGUUCCUACACCGCCGACAACAACACUUUGAGCACGACGAAGUCGACCAUCUCCUCCAACACCAGCGCGAUCAGCUGCCUCCAGCAGGGCCAGGCCGGAGCGGUAGCGCCGACGAGGCCGACGACGCUCACCCUGGGCGCGUCGCCGGAGAAUGACGACCACCAGCAGCAGCUCCACCACCAUCAGGAGCAGCAGCAUUUCAUCACCUCCCUCCUGCACAACAACAUCAAUAACAGCAACAUCCUGUCGUGCUCCUCGGUGAGCUCCAGCACGAUGCCAUCGGCGGCGGCGGCCAACGGCGAGGUCUCCGACCAGAACAACGACAACGCCAACAACAACAUGCAUAUGUUUGAGGUUGACUUUAUGUAG
rnacentral:rRNA from 1 species